rnacentral:rRNA from 1 species
UACGUAGGUGGCAAGCGUUGUCCGGAUUUAUUGGGUUUAAAGGGUGCGUAGGCGGCUUUGUAAGUCAGUGGUGAAAUAUGUCAGCUCAACUGAGAGGGUGCCAUUGAUACUGCAGAGCUUGAGUACAGAUGAGGUAGGCGGAAUUGACAGUGUAGCGGUGAAAUGCAUAGAUAUUGUCAAGAACACCGAUAGCGAAGGCAGCUUGCUAGCCUGUAACUGACGCUGAGGCACGAAAGUGUGGGGAUCAAACAGG